rnacentral:rRNA from 1 species
UGGUGGAGCGGUUUGUCUGGUUAAUUUCGAUAACGAACGAGACUCUAGCCUGCUAAAUAGACGGGCGAUCCCUUGUGGGUCGAUCCGAUUUGCUUCUUAGAGGGACAAGUGGCGUUCCUAGCCACGCGAAAUUGAGCAAUAACA